GCCUCUGUGGUGGAAUGGUAGACGCGGCAGACUCAAAAUCUGCUACUCGCAAGAGUGUGCUGGUUCAAGUCCGGCCAGGGGCA
rfam:Reticulomyxa filosa solexa3794078_1.f1.exp, whole genome shotgun sequence.